UACGGAGGGGGCUAGCGUUGUUCGGAAUUACUGGGCGUAAAGCGCACGUAGGCGGCUUUGUAAGUUAGAGGUGAAAGCCCGGGGCUCAACUCCGGAAUUGCCUUUAAGACUGCAUCGCUCGAAUUGUGGAGAGGUAAGUGGAAUUCCGAGUGUAGAGGUGAAAUUCGUAGAUAUUCGGAAGAACACCAGUGGCGAAGGCG
rnacentral:rRNA from 1 species